rnacentral:tRNA from 1 species
GGUUCCAUAGUCUAGCGGUUAGCACAUCUGCUUUACACACAGAAGGUCCUGGGUUCGCGCCCCAGUGGAGCCA